rnacentral:lncRNA from 1 species
AAUAACUGCUCCAAACCUUAUGUCAUACAUGAAGAUAGCAGAAGCGACUCUGUGGAGGCUCAUGUUCUAAAUGCCAUCAAAGGUCACAGUAUGGAGUUAUCACAUGAAGAUUAAAAAAAAAAAAAAUUGCAAAUAAAAAUCUCAGCAGACAAAGAUUUCUCAUAUCCAUGGAGAGGACCUACGAUUCCCCCUGCACACAGAAAUCUGAAUGGAGUCAAAUCCAGCUGGCAGCCUGCCAUGAGUGGUGUUCCCAGAGUCCUAUCCUGUUUAAUAUACUUAUUUAUGAUCUGGAUGAGGGAAUUUGAGUGUAUCUUCAGUAAGUUUGCAGAUGACGCUAAGCUGGGAGGAAGUGUUGAUGUCCCUGAAGAAGUCUCUACAGAGGGAUCUGGAUAGGAUGGAUUGAUGGGCUCAAACCAACUAACUGUAUGAGCUUCAACAAGACCAAGUGCCAAGUCCUGCUCUUGGGUCACAACAAUACAGUGCAGUGAUUCAGGCUUUGGGCAGAGCAGCUGGACAGUUGAGUAGUGGAAAAGAAUCUAGG